GGGCGGUUAGCUCAGCUGGUUAGAGCGCCUGCCUUACAAGCAGGAGGUCACUGGUUCGAAUCCAGUAUCGCCCACCA
rnacentral:tRNA from 3 species